ACGAACGCUGGCGGCGUGCUUAACACAUGCAAGUCGAACGGGCCUGUCUUCUUUUUUGGGGGGUGGGUUGAGUGGCGAACGGGUGAGUAUCACGUGAGUAACCUGCCCUUCGGUCCUGGAUAACCGCUUGAAAGGGCGGCUAAUACGGGGUGGUCCGGUUGGUCCGCAUGGGCUGGUCGGGAUAGAUUCACUGUUUUUGGUGUUUCGGCGGGGGAUGGGCUCGCGGCCUAUCAGCUUGUUGGUGGGGUGAUGGCCUACCAAGGCGGUGACGGGUAGCCGGCCUGAGAGGGUGGGCGGCCACACGGGGACUGAGAUACGGCCCAGACUCCUGCGGGAGGCAGCAGUGGGGGGUAUUGCACAAUGGGCGGAAGCCUGAUGCAGCGACGUCGCGUGAGGGAUGGAGGCCUUCGGGUUGUGAACCUCUGUUUCCGGUGGUGAAGGCCCUGUCCGUGUGGUGGGGUUGACGGUAGCCGGGGAUGAAGCGCCGGCUAACUACGUG
rnacentral:rRNA from 1 species